GGGUCCGUAGCUCAGCUGGUAGAGCAGUGGCCUUUUAAGCCAACGGUCGCGCGUUCGACUCGCGCCGGACCCACCA
rnacentral:tRNA from 1 species